CGCGUAGUGGGCAGCCCAGUGGGCGGUCUCCGGCGUAGCCCUUGCUUCCUGAAGAGUCGGGACUGCGAGGCCGGUAGCCCUGCGCUCGGGCUCGGGCCGAUUGUCUUAUGACUUCUUAUAUAUAAACUCCCCGGGUUUUUCAAGUCUCUCUCAAGAGUAAUGAGAAAAGUCGUUCGUGAAUGAAGAUACAAAGAUCAAAAUUUGGGCAUCAUUUUUGUAUGCAGUACUAUCUUCAAGAUGCCAGCUUCAUACCAUGUUAGGAACAGCAAGCAGAUGGGGUCUUCACAGGUUCAGGAGAAGCUUGGGAUUGGAACUGGUAGCCUCCUUGUACUGAACUUCACUCAGUGCUGCCACAUGCUUUUGUUAGAGACUCCAGGAAAUGUAUUUCAAUGAUUGUCAUUGCCUCAGGGGACAAAUACUACCAUUUUUUAUGAACAUCCUCAACAGUUCACCUGAUCAGAAAAAUUAACAUUCUACUUUAACAAUUUGUUUAGUGGCCUAGGGAAGCCACUAAAUUUUGCAGCAAAGGCUUUCAAGCCAUGUUCCAUGAAGCAUUCAGGGUUGGCUUACGUGAAAAGCCUUCUGCCUCCUCUGCAGCCAGAAAGGCUUUGCUUUACCAUGUUUUGGUAUCGCUGUUUUUAAAAAUGUGUGUGUGUGUAUUUGUUUGUGAGACAGAGAGAGAGGGAAGGGAAAAUAAAUUUCUGUAUGGGAAGAUUCACCCAAGAAAUUUCAUUGCUUGAAGAUGCUUAUGCUAUACAUCAUUAAAGAAAGUAAAUUUUACAAGUUUUCAAAAUAAAAUGGUCAUGACCAUUUUUUUAGAUAUGAA